GGUGAAUGCGUUCCCGGGCCUUGUACACACCGCCCGUCACACCACCCGAGUCGAUUGCACCCGAAGUCGUCGGCCUAACCUUUUAGGAGGGAGACGCCGAAGGUGUGGUUGGUAAGGGGGGUGAAGUCGUAACAAGGUAGCCGUACCGGAAGGUGCGGCUGGAUCACCUCCUUUCUAGGGAGA
rnacentral:rRNA from 1 species